UGGAACGGAAAAUGGUAGGACGGCUAAAGAAAACAGAAAUAUUCCGUAGGAAACUGAAAAAACUGCGUCACACAUACCAGGGCCCGAACAGUUGAGCAGACAUCACCGAAGGCGAAGCUGUGCACCACUCCCGACACAGUGACAUCGUGUGGAGGAAAGCCGUAUCGCAGCGAGUGAUCCAACAGGAUCAGCGGCUGAUGCUCCUGAAAGAACCUUCUUGGGGUCAUGCUGAUGCAAUUUGUGACCACCUUCAAACCUCAAAACCCCCAAAACUGAACUUCUCCUGCUUUGUUCUUUGGGCAGAAAGACUCCUGAGAUCUUUGGUAUCUUACAGAUCUAAGACACAAGGGAAAAUGGAGAAUACCAAAACCCUCGGCUGAAACAACAAGUCUUUGUUUCCUUGUGGCUUUUGUCGCCCGGUGUCAAUUUACAAGCUACAAAAAAAUUGAAUCCACGCUGGCCGUAUCGCUGCA
ensembl:lncRNA